rnacentral:rRNA from 1 species
GAUGAACGCUGGCGGCGUGCCUAAUACAUGCAAGUCGAGCGAACAGACAAGGAGCUUGCUCCUCUGACGUUAGCGGCGGACGGGUGAGUAACACGUGGAUAACCUACCUAUAAGACUGGGAUAACUUCGGGAAACCGGAGCUAAUACCGGAUAAUAUAUUGAACCGCAUGGUUCAAUAGUGAAAGACGGUUUUGCUGUCACUUAUAGAUGGAUCCGCGCCGCAUUAGCUAGUUGGUAAGGUAACGGCUUACCAAGGCGACGAUGCGUAGCCGACCUGAGAGGGUGAUCGGCCACACUGGAACUGAGACACGGUCCAGACUCCUACGGGAGGCAGCAGUAGGGAAUCUUCCGCAAUGGGCGAAAGCCUGACGGAGCAACGCCGCGUGAGUGAUGAAGGUCUUCGGAUCGUAAAACUCUGUUAUUAGGGAAGAACAAAUGUGUAAGUAACUAUGCACGUCUUGACGGUACCUAAUCAGAAAGCCACGGCUAACUACGUG